GUUAUGGCUCAGUGGUAGAGGGCUCGCCUUGCACAUGCAAGACCCUGGGUUUGAUCCUCAGCGUCACA
rnacentral:tRNA from 1 species